GGAAUACUGGCAGAAGCUGGCUCAUGCUGCAGGCACUGGGGAAGCAGCCUGGGGCUUUCUUAGAGCACGCAUCAGCCUCCAGCUGCACUGGGGGUUCUGAGUCUACACACCUUCUCCCUGCCUUGUCCAGCACUGGGUCAGGCACUAUGGAGUCAAAACCUAGAAAGUGAACAGCAUCCACACCAUUGCCUGUGCAGGCAAGGAUACAAAAGGAGGGAGGCCCCGAGCCUCCAGCACAAUGUGGUGUCUGCCUCCUUAGAAUCAUGAUGUACUGUUUCCCAAGCAGCACUGUGAGAAGCACAGGUACCCUGUGGCAUGUUAACAGGUCUUCCUCAGCCUCACUGUGCAACCUUUAAAGACUCUUUUGGCAGGUAAAUUUCAAAAUCCCUGCACACACUUUUCUUUUAUUCAAAAUCACCCUCUUUUCACCCAACGACUCUCCCCUCUGUUGUUCCCCGUUCCCACCGAUUUAGGUCCUAUUGACCAGCUAGACAGUAAGGCCCUGAAAGACAGAGACUUUAUUCUGCAUUGAAGCCUCUCCUCCACUAAUGAGCACAGUGGGUGCAUAAUAAUGUUGGCAAUGGACUCCAUGCUUCCCACUGAUACUAGGGUCACUAUCGGCCAAUCAGGUUCUCCCGUGAG
rnacentral:lncRNA from 1 species